AGGUCAGAAAUAAUGCUGAAAAGAUUACAACACAUUAAUAUUUGAUGGACACAGCAUUUGCUUUGUUCUUUAAAAAAGACACACAGUACCUUAAAUACAGUGA